GGGUUGUGAGGUUAAGCGACUAAGCGUACACGGUGGAUGCCCUGGCAGUCAGAGGCGAUGAAGGACGUGCUAAUCUGCGAUAAGCGUCGGUAAGGUGAUAUGAACCGUUAUAACCGGCGAUUUCCGAAUGGGGAAACCCAGUGUGUUUCGACACACUAUCAUUAACUGAAUCCAUAGGUUAAUGAGGCGAACCGGGGGAACUGAAACAUCUAAGUACCCCGAGGAAAAGAAAUCAACCGAGAUUCCCCCAGUAGCGGCGAGCGAACGGGGAGCAGCCCAGAGCCUGAAUCAGUGUGUGUGUUAGUGGAAGCGUCUGGAAAGGCGCGCGAUACAGGGUGACAGCCCCGUACACAAAAAUGCACAUACUGUGAGCUCGAUGAGUAGGGCGGGACACGUGGUAUCCUGUCUGAAUAUGGGGGGACCAUCCUCCAAGGCUAAAUACUCCUGACUGACCGAUAGUGAACCAGUACCGUGAGGGAAAGGCGAAAAGAACCCCGGCGAGGGGAGUGAAAAAGAACCUGAAACCGUGUACGUACAAGCAGUGGGAGCACGCUUCGGCGUGUGACUGCGUACCUUUUGUAUAAUGGGUCAGCGACUUAUAUUCUGUAGCAAGGUUAACCGAAUAGGGGAGCCGAAGGGAAACCGAGUCUUAACUGGGCGUUAAGUUGCAGGGUAUAGACCCGAAACCCGGUGAUCUAGCCAUGGGCAGGUUGAAGGUUGGGUAACACUAACUGGAGGACCGAACCGACUAAUGUUGAAAAAUUAGCGGAUGACUUGUGGCUGGGGGUGAAAGGCCAAUCAAACCGGGAGAUAGCUGGUUCUCCCCGAAAGCUAUUUAGGUAGCGCCUCGUGAAUUCAUCUCCGGGGGUAGAGCACUGUUUCGGCAAGGGGGUCAUCCCGACUUACCAACCCGAUGCAAACUGCGAAUACCGGAGAAUGUUAUCACGGGAGACACACGGCGGGUGCUAACGUCCGUCGUGAAGAGGGAAACAACCCAGACCGCCAGCUAAGGUCCCAAAGUCAUGGUUAAGUGGGAAACGAUGUGGGAAGGCCCAGACAGCCAGGAUGUUGGCUUAGAAGCAGCCAUCAUUUAAAGAAAGCGUAAUAGCUCACUGGUCGAGUCGGCCUGCGCGGAAGAUGUAACGGGGCUAAACCAUGCACCGAAGCUGCGGCAGCGACACUAUGUGUUGUUGGGUAGGGGAGCGUUCUGUAAGCCUGUGAAGGUGUACUGUGAGGUAUGCUGGAGGUAUCAGAAGUGCGAAUGCUGACAUAAGUAACGAUAAAGCGGGUGAAAAGCCCGCUCGCCGGAAGACCAAGGGUUCCUGUCCAACGUUAAUCGGGGCAGGGUGAGUCGACCCCUAAGGCGAGGCCGAAAGGCGUAGUCGAUGGGAAACAGGUUAAUAUUCCUGUACUUGGUGUUACUGCGAAGGGGGGACGGAGAAGGCUAUGUUGGCCGGGCGACGGUUGUC
rnacentral:rRNA from 1 species